rnacentral:rRNA from 1 species
AUUGAACGCUGGCGGCAGGCCUAACACAUGCAAGUCGAACGAGUGGCGGACGGGUGAGUAAUGUCUGGGAAACUGCCCGAUGGAGGGGGAUAACUACUGGAAACGGUAGCUAAUACCGCCUACCAUCGGAUGUGCCCAGAUGGGAUUAGCUAGUAGGUGGGGUAAAGGCUCACCUAGGCGACGAUCCCUAGCUGGUCUGAGAGGAUGACCAGCCGCACUGGAGCGUAGCAAGGGUCCAGACUCCUACGGAAGGCAGGAGUGGGGAAGAUUGCACAAUGGGGGCAAGCCUGCUGCAGCCAUGCGGCGUGUAGAAAGAGUGCAUUCGGGUUGUAAAGUCCUUUCAGCGGGGAGGCGUUACCCGCAGAAGAAACACCGGCUAACUCCGUGCCAGCAGCCGCGGUAAUUC